CCUAAGAACGGGGAACAUCCGGGGUCUAUCCAAAAGUCGAUAGCUGUAGUAACCCCCACAGCUCAGACCAGUUUUACAAACUACGGAAGACACCGGAACAACGUCUGACUCCGAUAGUUCAGAUUUUUUUGGAUACCGUCAUUGAAGGAGUAAGAAACUACAAUCAACCCCCUUGAAGAAAAUUCCAACAUUGGAGACACUCUCUUCAGGAUUUUUUCAGCUAAGGGAUAGAAUAACUGAAAACUUUGAGCAUGUCUACAGUGAGUAUGUUCAAUCCUUGCAUAAUACUCUGGAAUCCUUAAAUUGCUGUGUUAUGGUGAAUAAAAGAAAUGUUAAGACAAUAUUAUUUUAGAAAUGGCUCAGAAGCGUUCGAGUAAUUCUCCCUCUUCAGAAGCUAAAAAAAUUAGAAUUGAAAAUGACCCUACAUCAUCACAUGAUCUCUGCUUUGGU